rnacentral:tRNA from 1 species
CAGAGAAUAGUUUAAGUAAAAAUAUUAGUUUUGGGGAUUAAUGAUGAAUAAAAUAUAAAUUCUUCUCUGA